GAUGAAGAACGCAGCGAAAUGCGAUACUUGGUGUGAAUUGCAGAAUCCCGUGAACCAUCGAGUUUUUGAACGCAAGUUGCGCCCGAAGCCAUUCGGCCGAGGGCACGUCUGCCUGGGUGUCACGCAUCGUUGCCCCCCCAAACUCCGGUUCGGGCGGGGCGGAAGUUGGCCUCCCGUGCGUGCCUGCGCGCGCGGUUAGCCCAAAAGCGAGUCCUCGGCGAUGAGCGCCACGACAAUCGGUGGUUUUUUUACCCUCGUUCCUCGUCGUGCGUGCCCCGUCGCCCGAACGCGCUCUUGCAACCCUUACGCGUCGCCUCGGUGGCGCUCCCAACGCGACCCCAGGUCAGGCGGGACUACCCGCUGAGUUUAAGCAUAUCAAUAAGCGGAGGA
rnacentral:misc_RNA from 1 species